UACGGGGGGAGCAAGCGUUGUUCGGAUUUACUGGGCGUAAAGGGCGCGUAGGCGGCCAGUGCAAGUCAGUUGUGAAAUCUCCGAGCUUAACUCGGAAAGGUCAACUGAUACUGCUCGGCUAGAGUGCGGAAGGGGCAACUGGAAUUCUUGGUGUAGCGGUGAAAUGCGUAGAUAUCAAGAGGAACACCGAUGGCGAAGGCAGGUCUCUGGGCCACUACUGACGCUGAGAAGCGAAAGCAUGGGGAGCGAACAGG
rnacentral:rRNA from 1 species